UUGUCGUCGGUUAAAGACAGCCAAGGUGGAUGUGGACUCUUCAGGCAAGAAAUGCAAAGAGAGGAUGAUGAAGGUUCUUGUUGGAGCCCCGUCAUGUUCCACCUUUAGAAACGGUCUGCAGGGGUUUGUAGUGAACAACUACCAGUCUUCAUCAGAGCUGAUGGCUGUCUUCCAGGAGCUGAACAUGAUUCAGGUUUACCAGCAGGUGCUGCCUUCACUAAACUGACUGGUCCCAGAUCUGCUUCUGCUAACCUCCAACUACAGCACAUAAGAAUCCACAUGAACUCCUGAACAGACACAGACGAGCUGAUGGUCGGAGAAACGGAUUAUCUGUAAUGAUUCAUGAACUUCAUUGAUAAUAGAUUCAUAAACAAAAUAUUA